GACGAACGCUGGCGGCGUGCUUAACACAUGCAAGUCGAACGGAAAGGCCCUGCUUGCAGGGUGCUCGAGUGGCGAACGGGUGAGUAACACGUGGGUGAUCUGCCCCUUACUUUGGGAUAAGCCUGGGAAACUGGGUCUAAUACUGGAUAGGACCAUGCUGUAGGUGGUGUGGUGGAAAGAUUUUUUCGGUAAGGGAUGAGCUCGCGGCCUAUCAGCUUGUUGGUGGGGUAAUGGCCUACCAAGGCGUCGACGGGUAGCCGGCCUGAGAGGGUGGACGGCCACAUUGGGACUGAGAUACGGCCCAGACUCCUACGGGAGGCAGCAGUGGGGAAUAUUGCACAAUGGGCGCAAGCCUGAUGCAGCGACGCCGCGUGGGGGAUGACGGCCUUCGGGUUGUAAACUCCUUUCAGCCAUGACGAAGCCUCUUUUGGGGUGACGGUAGUGGUAGAAGAAGUACCGGCUAACUACGUG
rnacentral:rRNA from 1 species